GACAGACGAUGGCUCCCCACGGAGAGGUUUGUCUUGGAAGGAAACCAGAAGCCUGAAGUGCCUGCACACACACAGGAAGGCUCUGCUGUGGCAAUCACAGUUCUCCCGAACGGUUGCUGAAGCAUGCCCUUGUCAGGAGUCUUAAAGAAUCACCUGUGGGUAUUGGGAGGUCAAGUCACUUGCCCAGGGUCACACAGUCAGAAUAUGUCAGAAGUAAGACUUCAACCUUCAAGAAUCUGUGGUUUCAUCAGUGUGAG